AACGCACAUUGCGCCCUUUGGUAUUCCGAAGGGCAUGCCUGUUCGAGCGUCAUUUCAAACCUCAAGCUCACGCUUGGUAUUGGGCGUCGUCCGCUAGGACGUGCCAGAAACCCGUAGGCAGUGGUGCCCGCCUCCCAGCGUAGUCAAUCUACCCGCUUCGGAGCGCGCGGUGCCGCCCGCCGGACGAACAACCACUUUUUUCUAUGGUUUGACCUCGGAUCAGGUAGGGAUACCCGCUGAACUUAA
rnacentral:misc_RNA from 1 species